ensembl:lncRNA
GACUGCCCAGAGACGUUUGACAGGUCGUUUUGAAAAGUGUUCGACUCUCCAUCUUCAACGCCCAAUUUGUCAUGACUGAGGCCACAAAUGGAAGCGUCCUCGUCGCUCUGUGUACUGCUAUCCUCCCCGACAGUUGUCUUGCUUAGCUCUCCGUGGAUGUCUUUAGUCUGGGUCGGGCGUUUAUGUUCCAUCCGUCGGUGCUGGAACCUGGCGUUCCAUAAGGUCGAGCAGCACGGCUAUUUCCACACGGCGUGGUCGGCAAAGGCACUGCUGGAGGCCUGUAGGAGACUGUCACGACAAUGGAUGGGAUUUCUCGCACUUUUCACAAACUGCAAGACUGCAGGAAAUGACGGUGUACCACUCUUACUCAGUACAUCCAUCAGUAUUAGGUUGUCUCUCCCUAUUUCCAAAUGUCUUUCAGUCGUUUUGAUAAUAUGCAAGUUUAUUUUCAUUUUGCUGAAUUUGAACCAAAGAGCGACGUGUACUGAGCAAAUUAUGCGCUUAUCAUAUUGCUAAUUUUCUGAUGCUUUUUGUUGUGUAACACCUCUACUAUGAAGGCAAAUACUUAAGUCAAUUAGUGUCUUUUAUUUCCUCAGAAGUGGAGCAGCAUGGAAUGUAUGACAUCAAAAAAAAAAAAAAAAAAAAAAUUCAAACUAAUAAACAGCUUCUGAUCGUUGUCUCUUUCGAAUGU